CCUACGUGAGGCAGCAGUGGGGAAUAUUGCACAAUGGGGGAAACCCUGAUGCAGCGACGCCGCGUGAGUGAAGAAGUAUUUCGGUAUGUAAAGCUCUAUCAGCAGGGAAGAAAAUGACGGUACCUGAUUAAGAAGCACCGGCUAACUACGUGCCAGCAGCCGCGGUAAAACGUAGGGGGCAAGCGUUAUCCGGAUUUACUGGGUGUAAAGGGAGCGUAGACGGCAGCACAAGUCUGGAGUGAAAUGCCGGGGCUUAACCCCGGAACUACUUUGGAAACUGUGCAGCUAGAGUGCAGGAGAGGUAAGUGGAAUUCCUAGUGUAGCGGUGAAAUGCGUAGAUAUUAGGAGGAACACCAGUGGCGAAGGCGGCUUACUGGACUGUAACUGACGUUGAGGCUCGAAAGCGUGGGGAGCAAACAGGAUUAGAUACCCCUGUAGUC
rnacentral:rRNA from 1 species